rnacentral:rRNA from 1 species
AGGGUUUGAUCCUGGCUCAGAAUGAACGUUGGCGGCGUGGAUUAGGCAUGCAAGUCGAGCGCGAUACUUUUGAUUGAGUCUUCGGACAAUUUUAGAAGUGGAAAGCGGCGAAAGGGAGAGUACGCGUAGAUACGUACCUAGAGGUCUGGGAUAGCCACGGGAAACUGUGGGUAAUACCGGAUAAUGUCUCCGGACCAAAGAUUUAUCGCCUUUAGAUCGGUUUGCGUACUAUUAGCUAGUUGGCGGGGUAAUGGCCCACCAAGGCAAGGAUGGUUAGCGGGUGUGAGAGCAUGGCCCGUCUCACUGGGACUGAGACACUGCCCAGACACCUACGGGUGGCUGCAGUCGAGAAUCUUCCGCAAUGGGCGAAAGCCUGACGGAGCGACGCCGCGUGCGGGAUGAAGGCCCUCGGGUUGUAAACCGCUGUCAGAGGGGAGGAAAAUUUGACCGAUCCUCAGAGGAAGCACAGGCUAAGUUCGUGCCAGCAGCCGCGGUAACACGAACUGUGCAAACGUUAUUCGGAAUCACUGGGCUUAAAGAGUUCGUAGGCGGCCAUGCAAGUCAGAUGUGAAAUCCCACAGCUCAACUGUGGAACUGCGUUUGAAACUGCAUGGCUUGAGGGAGACAGAGGUAAGCGGAACUGAUGGUGGAGCGGUGAAAUGCGUUGAUAUCAUCAGGAACACCGGUGGCGAAAGCGGCUUACUGGGUCUUUUCUGACGCUGAGGAACGAAGGCUAGGGGAGCGAACGGGAUUAGAUACCCCGGUAGUCCUAGCUGUAAACGAUGAGCACUAGUCCGAGGACCCUUCCACAAGUUCUCGGACGUAGCGAAAGUGUUAAGUGCUCCGCCUGGGGAGUAUGUCCGCAAGGAUGAAACUCAAAGGAAUUGACGGGGGCUCACACAAGCGGUGGAGGAUGUGGCUUAAUUCGAGUCUACGCGAAGAACCUUACCCAGAUUUAACAUGUUUAAGAAUUCCUGUGAAAGCAGGAAGUGCCCUUCGGGGAGCUUUUACGUAGGUGCUGCAUGGCUGUCGUCAGCUCGUGUCGUGAGAUGUCGGGUUAAGUCCCUUAACGAGCGAAACCCUUAUCAUUAGUUGCCAGCGGGUUAUGCCGGGGACUCUAGUGAGACUGCCGGUGUUAAACCGGAGGAAGGUGGGGAUGACGUCAAGUCCUCAUGGCCUUUAUAUCUGGGGCUGCACACGUCCUACAAUGCAACGCACAAAGGGAGGCUAACUCGCGAGAGUACGCAAAUCCCAAAAAACGUUGCUCAGUUCGGAUUGCAGGCUGAAAUUCGCCUGCAUGAAGCUGGAAUCGCUAGUAAUCGUAGGUCAGCAUACUACGGUGAAUGUGUUCCUGAGCCUUGUACACACCGCCCGUCAAGCCACGAAAGUUGGGGGGGCCCGAAGUCGCGAUUCCAACCGCAAGGAGGAUAGCGCCGAAGGUCAACUCGAUGAUUGGGACUAAGUCGUAACAAGGUA